rnacentral:ncRNA from 1 species
GUGGAUGGUGUCAUUUCGGCAUAAUCCAGUAAUAGGGAAUCAGGUGUGAAUCCUGAACUAUACCCGUAGCUGUAAGUUCUGUUAUACCCUUGGCUAUCUUGGCCACUGUCUGAAACGGAUGGGAAGGCGCCAAAGGGAGAACAAGUCAGAAGACCUGCCGGAUUCAUA